AUACUUACCUGGCGUAGGGGAUACCGUGAUCAGGCGAUUCACCAGGGCGAGGCUGCUCCAUUGCACUGCGGAGUGGUUGACCCUGGCGAUUAUUUUUAUUGUUAUCAAUAAAAAAUAAUUAUUUUCUUUAUUAUUUGAAUAGAACUUCAAAUUGAUAUUUUUACAAUAAGGAACUUCGUUCCUA
rnacentral:snRNA from 9 species